rnacentral:rRNA from 1 species
GACGAACGCUGGCGGCGUGCUUAACACAUGCAAGUCGAACGAUGACCUCGAGAGCUUGCUCUUGGGUGAACAGUGGCGAACGGGUGAGUAACACGUGAGUAACCUGCCCCUGACUCUGGAAUAAGCGCUGGAAACGGCGUCUAAUACCGGAUAUGACACACCCUCGCAUGGGGAGUGUGUGGAAAGUUUUUCGGUCUGGGAUGGACUCGCGGCCUAUCAGCUUGUUGGUGAGGUAAUGGCUCACCAAGGCGAUGACGGGUAGCCGGCCUGGGAGGGCGACCGGCCACACUGGGACUGAGACACGGCCCAGACUCCUACGGGAGGCAGCAGUGGGGAAUAUUGCACAAUGGGCGAAAGCCUGAUGCAGCGACGCCGCGUGAGGGAUGACGGCCUUCGGGUUGUAAACCUCUUUCAGCAGGGAAGAAGCGCAAGUGACGGUACCUGCAGAAGAAGCACCGGCUAACUACGUGCCAGCAGCCGCCGUAAUAC